AGAGUUUGAUCCUGGCUCAGAACGAACGCUAGCGGCGUGCCUAACACAUGCAAGUCGCACGAGAAAUCCCGGGCAACUGGGAGAGUAAAGUGGCGCACGGGUGAGUAGCGCGUGGGUAAUCUACCCUGAAGUUGGGAAUAACACCUCGAAAGGGGUGCUAAUACCGGAUAAUGUCCCCGGGAUUCUGGUCUUGGGGAUCAAAGAUGGCUGAUGCUUGCAAGCUAUCGCUUUAGGAUGAGCCCGCGUACCAUUAGCUAGUUGGUGGGGUAAUGGCCCACCAAGGCCAUGAUGGUUAGCUGGUCUGAGAGGAUGGCCAGCCACACUGGAACUGAGACACGGUCCAGACUCCUACGGGAGGCAGCAGUGAGGAAUCUUGCGCAAUGGGGGAAACCCUGACGCAGCAACGCCGCGUGAGUGAUGAAGGCCUUCGGGUCGUAAAGCUCUGUCAGAUGGGAAGAAAGUUUCGGCGGUGAACAACCGCCGGGAUUGACGGUACCGUCAGAGGAAGCACCGGCUAACUCCGUGCCAGCAGCCGCGGUAAUACGGAGGGUGCAAGCGUUGUUCGGAAUCAUUGGGCGUAAAGAGCGUGUAGGCGGUUGGGUAAGUCAGAUGUGAAAUCCCUUGGCUUAACCAAGGAAGUGCAUUUGAAACUGCCCGGCUUGAGUACGGGAGGGGGAAGUGGAAUUCCCGGUGUAGAGGUGAAAUUCGUAGAUAUCGGGAGGAACACCGGUGGCGAAGGCGGCUUCCUGGACUGAUACUGACGCUGAGACGCGAAAGCGUGGGGAGCAAACAGGAUUAGAUACCCUGGUAGUCCACGCCGUAAACUUUGGGCACUUGGUGUUGCGGGUAUUGACCCCUGCAGUGCCGAAGCUAACGCAUUAAGUGCCCCGCCUGGGGAGUACGGCCGCAAGGUUAAAACUCAAA
rnacentral:rRNA from 1 species